rnacentral:rRNA from 1 species
CCUACGGGAGGCAGCAGUGAGGAAUAUUGGUCAAUGGGCGAGAGCCUGAACCAGCCAAGUCGCGUGAGGGAGUACUGCCCUAUGGGUUGUAAACCUCUUUUGUCGGGGAGCAAAAGCCGGACGUGUCCGGCUGUGAGAGUACCCGAAGAAAAAGCAUCGGCUAACUCCGUGCCAGCAGCCGCGGUAAUACGGAGGAUGCGAGCGUUAUCCGGAUUUAUUGGGUUUAAAGGGGGCGCAGGCGGAUUUUUAAGUCAGCGGUAAAAUCGUGGGGCUCAACCCCAUCCAGCCGUUGAAACUGGGGAUCUAGAGUGUGCGAGAGGUAUGCGGAAUGCGUGGUGUAGCGGUGAAAUGCAUAGAUAUCACGCAGAACCCCGAUUGCGAAGGCAGCAUACCGGUGCACAACUGACGCUCAGGCACGAAAGCGUGGGUAUCGAACAGGAUUAGAUACCCCAGUAGUC